AUAUUGAUGUGCCUUUGGUGACAAUUUGUUGUUCUUCACCACCAACUUUGGUGACUGAUGCUUUGGUGCUUUGUUUGUUUUGGUAUUCUAGGUGAUAUUGAAGAUAAUUUCGAUGAGGAAGAUACAAAUGUUGCAAGUUCUUCAGGAGUAUGAGAGAUAUUCAAGAUUCAAGAAGCUACAAAUGUUGCAAACUACUAUUUAUUUUAAUCUGAAUAAAAAUACUUUUGCUACUUCUUUACAAAUGU
rnacentral:lncRNA from 1 species